AUGGCUUGACUUAUGACUUGGUAUGUGGACAAUAUAUUAAAAUUGACAUUUUAAAUGUGAUUCCAUUUGAAGACCAGUGACUGUUCCUGUUCCUCGGUGUGUAAUGGACGCCUGUGCUCUGUUGUUUUUGAGGCGAAGUCGUCCGGCCUCCCUCACAGAGACGGAGGAGGACCCGCAGAAGAGGACGGCAUCAACUACGCCUCCCUGCAAUUCCCGGGAAAAGGGAACAGAAUUGACCCCAAGCCUGAGGAGACUGAGUGUGUCUACAGCAAAUUGGCCAAGCCCAUCAGGAAGCAAGAGGUGGAGGCGGAGGAGGCGGAGUACGAGAACGUGAAGGAGGCGGUCCCGCGGUGGACGGAACGAGAGUCGGACUCGGACUCGGAGACGAGCGACGAGGACCCGGACGUCUGCUACACCACGGUCUCCUUCGCGCCCCAGACCGGGCCCCCGGGACCCCACGGCGCCCACUGCCAAGAUGACAGCGACACUUCGGACGAGGACGACUACAAGUCCCAGUACUCCAAUGUCAAGGCCUGACGCGCCGGGGCCUGGUUCCGGUCAGCGUUGCCCACCGUACCGAGUUUUGGGGAGCGUUGUGUUGGCUUUAGGCUGGGGUCGAGUUCUUGGGUCGAGGACCCCGCUGGCGAGCGUAGAGGAGCCUGCCUUCAGCAUUGGGUUUCUGCGAUCCGUGCCCACCUAGCUGCUGUCUCUUAGCUGCCCUCGAUUGACUGAAUCUGACAAAUUAUCGCUAACUGAGUGCUUUUCACUUACCAAAAAAAAGCAAACGCACGCUCAAAAAGUCGCUAGAAAUCUCUAAGAUGUCGUCAUACACCGAUUUCCAUAUUUAUGGACUCAUUCGCAUACAAAAAACGUGUGUAGCUAUGCUCUGUACUCUGUGCACUCACCAAUCA